GAUACCUAAUGCUAGAUGACGAGUUAGUGGGUGCAGUGCACCAGCAUGGCAUAUGUAUACAUAUGUAACUAACCUGCACAAUGUGCACAUGUACCCUAAAACUUAGAGUAUAAAAAAAAAAAAAAGAUGGGAAAAAAAAAAGAAAAAGAAAUCCAUGAAAUGCCUGACAAAGAAUUCAAAAAUAUUAAAGAACGUCAGUGAGAUACAAGAAAACACAGAUAAAUAAUACAAGGAAAUCAGACAAACAAUUCAUGACCUCAAUGAGAAAUUCAACAAAGAGUUAGAGUUUAUAAAGAAGAACUAAAUCAAUCCUGAACUGAAGAACUCAAUGAAUGAAACAAAAAAUACAAUUGAGGGCAAUAGCAGACUAGGUCAAGCAGAAGAAAGAAUUUCUGAACUUAAAAGACAGACCCUCUGAAAUAACCCUGUCAGAAAAUAAAUAAACAGAAUAAAGAAAGCCUACAUGAAAUGAGGGACAUCACAAAGUGACAAAUAUUUAAAUUUUGGGAGUUCCGGAGAAGAGAUGGCUAAAGGCACAAAAAACCUAUUUAAUGAAGUAACAGCUGAAAAUGUCCCAAGUCUUGUAAGAGAUAUAGACAUCCAAAUAUAGGAAGCUCAAAGAUUCCCAAAGAGAUUCAACCCAAAAAUGUCUUCUCCAAGGCACACUAGUCAAGUUGUCAAAAGUCAAAGACCAAGAAUUCUAAAAAACAGCAAGAGAAAAUCUUACAUAGAAGGGAUAUACAGAAGGGAUUCCCAUCAGAUGGGAACAACAAUAAAGUUGUUCCCAGAUAAGCAAAAACAGGGAAUUCAUUAUCAUGAGACUGGACCUACAAGAAAUGCUUAAGGAAAUCUUACACCUGGAAGUGAAAGGAUGCUAUCUACCAUCAUAAAAACACAUGAAAGCAGAAAGCUCACUGGCAGAACAGACACAAAUGAGAGAAAGAAGUCAAAUGUUACCACCACAGAAAACCAUCAAACUGCAAAGAUAAAUAAGAUAGGAAGAAAGAAACAAAAGAUACAGAAAACAAUAAAAUGACAGGAAUAAGUCCUUACCUAUCAAUAAGGAACCAUGAAUGUACAUGGGUUAAAUUCUCCACUUAAAAGAUAUAAUUUGGCUGAACAGAUUAAUAAACAUGACCCAACUAUAUGCUGCCUACAAGAAACAUUUCACCUGUAGACACAUAUUGCCUGGAAGUAAAAGGAUGAAAAAAUAUAUUCCACACAAACAGAAACUAAAAGCAAAGCGGGGGUAGUUAUGUAAGAUAAAACAGACUUUAAGUCAAAAACUUUAAAAAGGCCUGGCUGGGCAUGGUGGCUCACACCUGUAAUCCCAACACUUUGGGAGGCCAAGGCAGGUGGAUCACUUGAGGCCAGGAGAUCAAGACCAGCCUGGACAACAUGGUGAAACCCUGUCUCUACUAAAAAUACACAAAUUAGCUGAGCAUAAUAGCAUGCGCCUAUAAUCCCAGCUACUCAGGAAGCUGGCGCAGAAGAAUCGCUUGAACCCAGAAGGUGGAGGGUGCAGUGAGCUGAGACCAUGCCACUACACUCCAGCCUGGGAGACAGAGUUUCCAAAAAAAAAGAAACAAAGUCUAUGAUAAAGCGAUCAACUCAGUAAGAUGAUAAAACAUUGUAAAUAUAGACGCACUCAACAAAAGAGCACCCAGAUAUAUAAAGAAAAUACUAUUAGAUCUAAAGGAAGAAAUAGACUCCAAUACAAUAAUAGCUGGGGGCUUCAACAUCCCACUCUCAGCAUUGGACAGAUCAUCUAGACAGAAAAUCAACAGAGAAACAUUGGAUUUACACUGCACUGUAAACCAAAUGGACCUAACAGACAUUACUGGAACACUUUACCCAACAACUGCAGGAUACAUUCUCAUCAGCACAACCUAAUGAAGCACCUCGAAGAAUUAGAAAAGCAAGAACAAACCAAACCCAAAAUUAGUAAAAGACUUCAUAAAGAUAACAUUGGAACUAAAUGAGAGACUAAGAAAAUACAAAGUAUCAAUGAAACAAAAGUUUUUUUUAAUACAAAAACCAAAAUCAAUAAAACACCAGCUAGACUAACCAUGGUCAAAUCAUCAUAUGACUUGCAUACGUUGAAUCAUCCUUGCAUUCCUAGAAUAAACCCCACUUGAUCAUGGUAUCUUUUUUUUUUAUGUUGAAUUUGGUUUACUAGUAUUUUGUUGAUUUUUGUAAAAAAUGUGAUACAUUAGAUCAACAGAAUGAAGGUCAAAACCCAUAUAAACAUCUCAACAGAUACAGAAAAAGCACUUGAUGAAGUUCAACAUCCCUUCAUGAUAAAAACCCUCAACAAAUUAGAAAUAGAAGAAACAUACCUCAACAUAAUAAAGGCUAUAUAUGACAAACUCACACCUAACAUUAUGAUGAAUGGGAAAAGCUUUCCACUUUUCCUCUAAGAAUGGGAACAAAACAACAAUGUCCACAUUCACCACUCUUAUUCAUCGUAGUACUUGAAGUCCUAGACAGAGCAACAGGAAAGAGAAAUAAAGAGCUGCCAAAUUGGAAAAGAGGAAGUCAAACUGUAUCUCUUUGAAGAUGAAAUGAUCUUAUAGAAAAAUCUAAUGACUCCACCAAAAAACUCUCAGAACUGAUAAAGAAAUUCAGUAAAUUACCAGAUACAAAGUCAGCCAAUAUAACUCAGCAUUUCUGUACACCAAUAGCACACUAGUUGAAAAAAAAAAUCAAGAAAGAAAUCCCAUUUAUAAUAAAAACAAAAAAUGAAAUAAAAUACCUAGGAGUAAAUCUGACUAAGGAGGCGAAAGCUCUCUACCAGGAAAACUAUAAAACACUGAUGAAAGAAAACUGGAGAGAACACAAACAAAUCGGAAGACAUCUCAUGCUUAUGAACUGGAAAAAUUAAUACUGUUAAAAUGACCAUACUGCCUAAAGCAAUCUAAAGAUUCAAUGCAAUCCCUAUCAAAAUACCAACGACAAUUCUUCAUACAAAUAGAAAAAACAAUACUAAAAUUUGAAUGGAACCACAAAAGACAAAGAAUAGUCAAAGCAAUACUGAGCAAAAAGAAUAAAUCUGGAGGUAUCACACUACCUGAUUUCAAAAAAUACUGUAAAGCUGUAGUAACCAAAACAGCAUGGUAUUGGUAUAAAAACAGGCAUACAGACCAAUGGAACAGAAUAGAGAACCCUAUUCUGUUCAUGCAUUUACAGCCAACUGAUUUUCGACAAAGGCACCAAGAACACUGAGGAAAGCACGCCCUCUUCAAUAAAUGGUGCUGAAAAAAUUGGAUGUCUAUAUGCAGAAGAAUGAAGCUAGAUUCCUAUCUCUUACCAUAUACAAAAACCAACUCAAAAUGAAUUAAUGACUUAAACGUAAGACCUGAAACUAUAAAACUCUGUAUGACAGCCCUAGCAAACUAAUACCUUAUUCUAGUAAAUAAGGCUGGAAAAGAAGGAUGGAGUUUCAAUUUCCUUACCAACAUUUUGGUUUUAAAUUCAACUAUAACUGACAUGUCAUAUUUAUUCCUAUAUUCCCCCACUGAACAUAUUAUCUUGCAAACUAGGCAGUCAAUAUAUAUUUAUAGAAUGAAUAAAAUGUACAUGCUUCAAGUUAAUUAUUUUGUCCAAAUGCAUGCUUAACAAGACUUAUUCUAAGCUGGGUGUAGUGAGUCAUACUUGUAAUCCCAACACUUUGGGGGGCUGAGGUGAGACGAUCACUUGAGGCCACAAGAUCAAGACCAGCCUAGGCAAGACAACAAGAGUCCUCCUCUACAAAAAAUAAAUUUUUUAAAAAUUAGACAGGCAUGGUGGUAUACUCCUGUGGUCCCAGCUACUCGGGAGGGUGAGGCAGCAGAAUUGCUUGAGCCCAGGAGUUUGAGGCUACAGUGAGCUAAGAUCGUGCCACUGCACUCUAGCCUGGGCAACAAAGUGAGACUGUCUCAACCCCCACCACAUAAAAAACAGACGAACAAAAAAACCCAAGACUUAUUUGAUUUAUACAACAACAAAUACAUGUAUGUUGAGACAGGGUCUCAUUCUGUUGCCCAGGCUGAAGUGCAGGGAUAUGACUUGGCUCACUGCAGCGUCUGCCUCCUGGGCUCAAGCGAUCCUUCCACCUCACCCUCCCCAGUAGCUGGGACCACAGGCACAUGCCACUACGCCCGGCUAAGUUUUGUAUUUUUUGUAGAGAUGAGGUUUUGCCAUGUUGCCUAGGGUGGUCUCAAACUCCUGCACUCAAGCGAUCCACCUGCCUCGGCCUCACAAAGUGCUGGGAUUACAGGUGUGAGCCACCCUGCUCAGGUAAGAACAUAUAUUUUUUAAAUGAUUCUAAAUGGCACUCUAAAAUUGGGGGAAAAAAAUUGAUACUUUUUUCUUUCCCUUUACCAAUAAACUUCAACUGCCCUGGUUAAUCAUGAAGAAAAUUCAGAAUAAAUUAUAAAAAGAAAACAAAAUUUCAAAAUAAAUCAUCUAAACUUCUGAUAGUGACAAACUUAGGACUUGAUUCUGAUUCUGUUUUUCACAAGCUGUUCUCACAACCUGGAAUGCUUUUUCUGCUCAUGUUCUGUCUUCUCCCAAGAUCCAGCUUCAAUCUUUAAACUCCUCUGGAUGCUUCUUUCCCAAUUUACUCCAAUUUGGCGAUCUUUCCUUUCCUAUAUUACUAUUUCCUAACACUCAGUAGUUGGAUAUAUACAUUUCAUCAAUUCUAAGAUAUAUCCUUUUUUUCACAUUUUAACAACACUGACAUUAGGACGCAUCACAAUCAACAUAUUGUUAUUGCUUCCUGCACAUGUGUAUCAGAAGCACCAGUACCAAAACUGGCAGAAAGGAUGGUCAGUAAUGUGGAGGAAAAUUCUAAAUAUCAGAACAGCUCUACACAAGUACAAAGGUGUCUUAAGAAUUCUGCAACAAAGAUUUUUGGUUCUUUUAUGUAUUCUUUUAAGAAAUGCUGCGUCAUCAAAGUUCUCAAUGGCAAAAUGGAUGACACUGAAUAGAAAAGCAUCAAUAUCAGUGGCUGAAUCAACAAAUUAUUAGAAAGAGUUGGAUUGUGAACGUGAAGUAUUAGGAAAAUCUUAACCAAUUUAUUUUACUACAUUUUUUAUGUAUGAAGAUGAAAUAUGAUAAAAAAAAAUUUAUGUCUAAUUAGGAGAGUUGUUUCAAUAUGUAUAAAAUUAAAAUUUUAAGGGAAAAGCACUGUGUCAAAGUUUUUUCUAUCUUAGUAAUUCAUAAAAUAAUGGUAUAUUUCACAAAGGCAUUUCCAAUUCAUUUAAAUAGAAUACUCUUUUUUUUCUAGUCAUUCCUGAGAAUAAAUAAGUCUCAUUAUUCCACAGGACUGUACACUGUUUAAAUAUUGUUAUCCUUCUCUUUUACCCCCAACAUCACUAAGAUCAGCGCUGGGCACAGAAUAUUUGUUCAAUAUCUGUUGACUGGCUGAGACCCAGUCAGGUAGAGACAAAGGCUUAAUGUCAUGGAAAGAGCGCAGGGCUAGAAACCAGGAGGCACAGAUUCUAAUGCCAACUCUGGCAUGAACUUACUUUAGCUACAACCCUUCUGGGCCUUAGUUACCUUAUCUAUAAAAUAAGAAGGGGCCAGACUAGAUUGUAGGCUAGACUAGACUAGAGCUAGACUAGACCGCUAAAUCAAUGUUUAAGGAGUUGAUAGUCUUGUAGAACUAAUGAGACUUAUUUUCAGAAAUGAUUUUAAAUGCUAACAUUCCACUUUUAAAAAAUGACUUGUGCAGUUCUAUCUCUAAGACAGGAUAAAGCUCUAGCUCUGAGUCCUUAUAUGUCAAGGACUAUACUAUAAAUUCUGGCUCAUCUUGGAAGAUAGGAAUAAGAACGUUUUCAUGGGUACUUUUAAUUAAACACAAUUAAACAUAACAAACCACUUUACAGUUAUAGGUAAAACAAAUUUAAAUGAGAGGCACUGGGGGUUACAGUGACAAGGACAACAAGAUUUGGGCACAAGUUGGUGGUGUGAAAUUACUACAGUUGCUUCAAAAAUCUAUUUACAUAGAAUUAACCCAUAUAAUCAAUUCUCAAUUAUGUAGGUGAGGUUAUUCAAGCCCUUCAUUUCUGUUUUUCUCUUCCACUUAACUGCUUGUUAACUCACUUUCUACUGAAGAAAAUCAAUUUAAGAUUUUAUGAUUUACUAUAUAUAUACCCUGACAAAUUAAAAAAUGCCCUAACCAUACUCCACAUGCCAUAUCUCAUGGAAUUCACUGAAACAAGCACUGCCAAGGACAGAGCAAGGUACACUAGGAAUCUGAAUCUUCAGGCAAGAAUCCUUAAAUAAAAGCUUCCUUGUACUGACAAUACAGGCCCAGAACUGUUCACCUUUCUGCAGUUUUGAAAGAGGAUCAGAAAUUAAAAUGCUGCUGGCUUCUAUACUGAUUCUGAGGAAAAAAUGUUAUGCAACAAAUAUAACAGAGCUCAAAGGGAGAUUUUUAAUUUUAGGAGUCACCUGGUUACAAAAACAAAAACUAUGAGUGAUGGAAUCUACUUAAUGUUCCCUCUUUCUGUUUGGACCAGAGAUCUAGUCAUCAUUCACUAAUGGAUUGAACAAUAAAAACAGAGUACAUAAUUCACUCAGAUUCUUCACUGAAUGUCCCAACUGACUGCAUUAGAAUAUACAGCAUCUGGAAAGUGAGUCAAUAAAUCCCCACUUAGGCAGUCAAUAACAUGUCAAUUCAGACAUCUUUAUAAAAUAUGAAUUAGAAAUCUGUUAAAAUGAGCUGGAACUUUUAAAAGAUAUUGUGAAAAAAAUUAGAACGACAGGUGAGGGGGUACAAGGGAACUCUGUACUCUGUUCAAUUUUUUAAAUAAAUCUAAAACUACUCAAAAAUAAAGUCUAUAGAUUUUUUUAAAAUGGAAUAGAAAACAGAAAUUAGAAACAGAACAGCAUAGUAAAAGUGGGAACUAUAAUCUCUUGUUUAAUUCUAUAGCCUCACCAACAUGAAAC
rnacentral:lncRNA from 10 species